AAAUGACAUCCCAUUUUUUAAAAUGUCUAAUCCCAUCAUCAAACGCUUCAAACGCAUAGCAUGGUUGUCAUUAGGGGUCGAAAGAAAUAGUAUUUUGGUUAGAAUAAGUUUAGAUCUAUUUUGGCCAUUUUGAGGCAAAUAACGUUGUUGCGAAUCUUAACCCUAAAAUAAUCUGAAACGGAGAAUUAGGGGAGAAAUUCAAAGGCUUGUGUCACAUUUAGGCAAAAUUUAGAAAAACUACAUUCAAAAUUAUAUUCUUUACGUAUUAUUUAAACCUUCUCUUCCUUAGAAUGGCUGUGCUAGUUGGCACUGAUGAGCAACUAAAAUCUAAAGGUGUACAAUACUUUCUUUCCGUGAACUUUACCAACCUUUUAAGUUCAAUUUGUCCAAGAGCUUGGUUUCAGGAGCCUUCAAAAUUCGAAUCUCACAUAUAAGUCGUAGAUAUGAGGUUGCAUUGAAAUUCAUUUUUUUCGUUGAUUCAAGAAAGGACGAUGUCUCUCAAUUCAAAGAGCAAGAAUUUUAUGAAGAACAACAAUUCAAGCAGGUUUUGCCUUGCCAAAAUAUUUGAAAGAGAAAGGCGCAAAGAAAUUACCGUCGCUUUUUAAAAUUUCUUUUUUCGUUUUCGGAACUCGUGACUGACGACAAACUAUUUUGACAAUAAUCGGACACAAUUUUUCCGAGUCCAGAUCAUCUUAGUAUGAGAGCAUCUAUCAAAAGCACUAGAAUGUUUUCCAAUGAGAAAAAUUAGAAGGACUUUCGUUGAUAUUGCACUUUGGCUCCAGUCGAGUCCAAAUAUGAUGGCCAAUAUAUUUCAGUAAGCAACCCUUCAAUGUGGCAAUGGGGUCAAAAAGAAGUACCCUUUCAUCCUCCACAUCGUGUCUUUCAAUAUUCCUCUGUAGAUGAUGUGAAUGAUAUGGACACUUACUGACUCAAU